UACAGAGGUCCCAAGCGUUGUUCGGAUUCACUGGGCGUAAAGGGUGCGUAGGCGGUCGGGUAAGUCUGAUGUGAAAUCUCCAAGCCUAACUUGGAAACUGCAUUGGAUACUAUCCGGCUCGAGGAAUGGAGGGGAGACUGGAAUACUUGGUGUAGCAGUGAAAUGCGUAGAUAUCAAGUGGAACACCAGUGGCGAAGGCGAGUCUCUGGACAUUUCCUGACGCUGAGGAGCGAAAGCGUGGGGAGCGAACAGG
rnacentral:rRNA from 1 species